rnacentral:rRNA from 1 species
GAUGAACGCUGGCGGCGUGCUUAACACAUGCAAGUCGAACGAAGCAAUUUAGCGGAAGUUUUCGGAUGGAAGCUAGCUUGACUGAGUGCCGGACGGGUGAGUAACGCGUGGGUAACCUGCCUCACACUGGGGGACAACAGUUAGACGUUACUGCUAAUACCGCAUAAGCGCUCAGGACUGCAUGGCCUAGCGUGAAAAACUCCGGUGGUGCGAGAUGGGCCCGCGUUUGAUUAGCUAGUUAGUGGGGUAACGGCCUACCAAGGCGACGGUCAAUAGCCGACCUGAGAGGGUGACCGGCCACAUUGGUACUGAGACACGGCCCAAACUCCUACGGGAGGCAGCAGUGGGGAAUAUUGCACAAUGGGGGAAACCCUGAUGUAGCGACGCCGCGUGAGUGAAGAAGUAUUUCGGUAUGUAAAGCUCUAUCAGCAGGGAAGAAAAUGACGGUACCUGACUAAGAAGCCCCGGCUAACUACGUGCCAGCCGCCGCAGUAA